UACGUAGGAUGCAAGCGUUGUCCGGGUUUAUUGGGUUUAAAGGGUGCGUGGGCGGCCUAUUAAGUUAGUGGUGAAAACGUUCGGCUUAACCGGAUACCCGCCAUUGAUACUGAUAGACUUGAGUGCGACAGAGGGUGUUGGAAUGUGUGGUGUAGCGGUGAAAUGCUUAGAUAUCACGCAGAACACCAAUUGCGAAGGCAGAUGCCUAUGUCGUAACUGACGCUGAGGCACGAAAGCGUGGGGAGCAAAUAGG
rnacentral:rRNA from 1 species